GACGAACGCUGGCGGCGUGCUUAACACAUGCAAGUCGAACGGUGAAAGAAGAGCUUGCUCUUCUGGAUCAGUGGCGAACGGGUGAGUAACACGUGAGUAACCUGCCCCAGACUCUGGAAUAAGCGCUGGAAACGGCGUCUAAUACCGGAUACGAGACAGAGUUCCAUGGCUACCGUCUGGAAAGUUUUUCGGUCUGGGAUGGAUUGGCGGCCUACCAGCUUGUUGGUGAGGUAACGGCUCACCAAGGCAACGACGGGUAGCCGGCCUGAGAGGGCGGCCGGCCACACUGGGCCUGAGACACGGCCCAGACUCCUACGUGAGGCAGCGGUGGGGAAUAUUGCACAAUGGGCGCACGCCUGAUGCGACGGCGCCGCGUGAGGGAUGACGGCCUUCGGGUUGUAAACCUCUUUCGGCAGAGAAGAAGCGAAAGUGACGGUACCUGCAGAAGAAGCACCGGCUAACUACGUG
rnacentral:rRNA from 1 species